rnacentral:rRNA from 1 species
AUUGAACGCUGGCGGCAUGCCUAACACAUGCAAGUCGAACGGCAGCGCGGACUUCGGUCUGGCGGCGAGUGGCGGACGGGUGAGGAAUGCAUCGGAAUCUGCCCCGACGUGGGGGAUAACGUAGGGAAACUUACGCUAAUACCGCAUACGUCUUACGGGAGAAAGCGGGGGAUCGAAAGACCUCGCGCGGCGGGAUGAGC